AUGUUCAUUCACAUAUGUCUGGUUUACCCACACAAGAGCACAAUGAUGAAUUUUACGGAGGAUGCUCCUGUAAAGAAAGGCUCUGUUCUCUUAACAAGGAUGGAAAGUAUAACGGCAUACAAAAACCAACGUGGACAACCCAAAUUUGAACAAUCUGACAUUCCAGUGUCUGCUAAUGACAUGUGUUCCCUUGCUGAAUGGCCAUCCCAUGCUCGCCGCAACUGUGCGCGACUACAGGAUGAAGCUGGUGGACAGAAGAAGAAAGGGCGAGUAGGAAUGAACUAUCGCUCGUUCAAGGAUGACGUGGUUGUCAUAAUGAAAAGAAAGUUACCACUCAUUGGAGUGAGGACGUGGUCGGACAUUCACCCUACCAUUCAUCGACUCAUUGUUGCAGAUAUAAUAGACAGAUGGGACCUGGAAGAUACACUAGAAACAGAAGAAAAAGUUUUCAAAAUUGCGAAAGAGAGAUAUAGAGGCUGGCGAUCAACUCUAAGCUCCACUUACAAGGAAUACAAAACAGAUGCAACUAGAUUGGCUAAUCUGCCUGAAGAUUUACAACCAGAAGAGUGGGAAUGGAUGAUUGAGUACUUUGGCACUGAUUCAAAAUUUCAGGAACGCAGCCAAAAGAACGCUGAUAACCGUAAGAAACAGAAGACAAAACAUAUAAUCGGAUCAAAAUCUUACUCACAAGUUAGUUUCGAGAAGAGAAACUUAGAAACUGGAGAAGAGCCAGAUUGUAUUACUCUAUGGGAAUUCACCCAUACAAACAAUGGAACAUGGUCUAACACAGAUUCCCAGAAAGUUUACGACCAAGCACUUGAAGAGGUUAAAAACAAAGAAGCUGAAACUGAAGGUCCACUUUCAAGUGAGCAGAAAAACAAUGUUUUCCAGACUGCUUACAAAGACACUCUGGAAUGCAAGUCAUCGCAGCCUCGUGGGUACGGAUACAUGGCCAAAACUUCAACUGGUUCUGAAAAGUUCCGUAUCCAGAUUGAAGAGCAAGCUCGUGCUACAGCAGCCACCCAGGAGCGAAACUCUCAGCUCAGCCAGCAGGUCAAUGAUUUAGAAGAUCAACUACAAGCUGAACGUGCUAACACACAAGAGAGGAUUAACUUGGAGCGUGCUGAGAGAGAACAACUUGAGGAGAGGUUAAAACAAGAGCGUGCUGAAAGGGAAAGAUUGUUGCAAGAGGAGCGAACAUCAAGACUGGAAUUUGAAAAAACAUGA
rnacentral:rRNA from 1 species